rnacentral:rRNA from 1 species
AUUGAACGCUGGCGGCAUGCCUUACACAUGCAAGUCGAACGGCAGCGGGGGAGAAGCUUGCUUUUCCUGCCGGCGAGUGGCGAACGGGUGAGUAAUACAUCGGAACGUGCCCUGUAGUGGGGGAUAACUAGUCGAAAGAUUAGCUAAUACCGCAUACGACCUGAGGGUGAAAGUGGGGGACCGCAAGGCCUCAUGCUAUAGGAGCGGCCGAUGUCUGAUUAGCUAGUUGGUGGGGUAAAGGCCUACCAAGGCGACGAUCAGUAGCUGGUCUGAGAGGACGAUCAGCCACACUGGGACUGAGACACGGCCCAGACUCCUACGGGAGGCAGCAGUGGGGAACUUUGGACAAUGGGCGAAAGCCUGAUCCAGCAAUGCCGCGUGUGUGAAGAAGGCCUUCGGGUUGUAAAGCACUUUUGUCCGGAAAGAAAUGGCUCUGGUUAAUACCUGGGGUCGAUGACGGUACCGGAAGAAUAAGGACCGGCUAACUACGUGCCAGCCGCCGCAGUAAAAC